UGCAACCUGAGCUCAGCCUGACUACCCGCUGAACUUAAUCAUAUCACUUAAGCGGAGGAAAAGAAACUAA
rnacentral:rRNA from 1 species